CAGAGGGGAAUAACGUUCUGAAAAGAACGCUAAUACCGCAUAACGUACAGUUACCGCAUGGUAGCAGUACCAAAGGAGCAAUCCGCUGAAAGAUGGACUCGCGUCCGAUUAGCUAGUUGGUGGGGUAAAGGCCUACCAAGGCGACGAUCGGUAGCCGGACUGAGAGGUUGAACGGCCACAUUGGGACUGAGACACGGCCCAGACUCCUACGGGAGGCAGCAGUGGGGGAUAUUGCACAAUGGGGGAAACCCUGAUGCAGCAACGCCGCGUGUGGGAAGAAGGUUUUCGGAUUGUAAACCACUGUUCUUGGUGAAGAUAAUGACGGUAACCAAGGAGAAAGCUCCGGCUAACUACGUGCCAGCAGCCGCGGUAAUACGUAGGGAGCAAGCGUUGUCCGGAUUUACUGGGUGUAAAGGGUGCGUAGGCGGCUAGGCAAGUCAGACGUGAAAACCAUGGGCUCAACCUGUGGACUGCGUUUGAAACUGUUUAGCUUGAGUGAAGUAGAGGUAGGCGGAAUUCCCGGUGUAGCGGUGA
rnacentral:rRNA from 1 species